GGCAGCGGGGCUGAGGCGGGUGGGAGCUGGAGGCGACCGCUGGCUAGGGAGGAGGGCGGCGACUGAGGAGCGACGAGCGGCGCGGGACCAGGAGCCUCUUUCACUUUUUCCCUCCCGAGCGCCCCCUCCCACCCCUCCCACUCCAUACACACCCUGUUUGCCCGUGAGCCUGGGGAACUUGCAGCUUAAAGCCGGCCACCCCCACGGCAACAUGUACCCCAGCAACAAGAAGAAAAAGGUGUGGAGAGAGGAGAAAGAACGUUUACUGAAGAUGACCUUAGAGGAGAGACGCAAAGAAUACGCGAGGGACUAUGUUCCCCUGAACACCAUCCCACCGUGGAAGGAAGAGAUGAAGGGCAAGAGCCAAAGUGAUGAGGAAGAUACUCAGGAAGCAUCACAGGUGAAGAAAAGUUUGAGUGAAAAAGUUUCUCUUUAUAGAGGUGACAUCACAUUGCUAGAGAUAGAUGCUAUAGUCAAUGCGGGCUCUUUGCAAGUUGUGUCAAUUAAGAACAAAUCUGGAUUUAGCUCAACAUUCUGGCUGUGAUGAUUGUAAUUUGGCCGUGUUCUGCAUCUCACAAGGACAGCCUCAUCAGGAAGUUCAUGGGUAGAAGGAAAAGAUACGUCAAAUGUGCAGUGCAAGGCUCUGGUUCCAGCUUUCUGUGGUGCAGUUUGUUUGCCUGGUGUGUAGCAAGAGGAACAGCUGUUUACGUCUCAGAGGUGUUGGAUUUUCAAUGGCUGAUUUUUUGGAAGUAGAUAACUAGGCCUUUCUUCUGAGGUUCCUCUGGAUGGACUAGAACCUCCAACCUUUAGGUUAGCAGUCAAGUGUCUAACCAUUUGUACCACCCAGGCUCUUGAACUUCUUUAGACUUCUUUAAAUAUGCCUCAGGAUGUGCCUCCUACACAUUAAUUUCUUCUCUGUAGGGAAUUAUGCAUACUUUUGUACAUGUUAUUAAAACAGAUUUUGUAAGCAGUGUCCUACAUAAGACAAUACCAUGAGUUGUAGACUCAGGCAGACCCAGGUUCAAAUUCAGUUUCCCAUACUUGGGCCAUUUUCUGUUUACACUUGUUACUUUGAAAUAAUUAUAGAAAAUUGCAAACAUAGUACAAAGAGUCCUGUGUACCCUUCACCUGUGUAAGCAUCCCCCAACGGUGACAUCCUGUAUAUGUUUUUAACUUGCAUGCUUUUGUGUGAGAGUGUGUGUGUGCAUGGUGUGCAGUUCUGUGCAAUUUUAUUUCACAUAUAGACUUAUGUAACCACCACCACAGUCAAGAUAGAGUACUGUUCCAUCACCGCAAAAGAACUUCGUUAUGUGACCUGUUCAUAUUCGCACCCCCACCUUUCCACCCUCCUUCCUCUUCUCUAACUCUAUAAUUUUGUUAUUUUAAGAAUGUUGUAUAAAUGGAAUAAUACAGCAUGUAACCCUUUGAGAAUGACUUUUUUUUUUUACUAUACGUAAUGCCGUUGAGGUACAUUCAGGUUUUGCAUGUGUCAGGAGUUCAUUCCUUUUUAUUGCUGAGUGAGUUGCAUAGAUGGGUAUACCAGAGUUUGUUCAACAGUUCAUCCAUUGAAGGACAUUUGAGUUGUCUCCAGUAUUUUGCUAUUACAAAUAAAACUGAUAGGAAUAUUCAUGUCGACAUUUUUUUUAUGAACACAAGUUUUCAUUUCUCUGGGAUAAAUACUCAAGAGUAUGGUUGCUUGGUCUUAUGAUAUGCUCAUGUUUAGUAUUGUAAGAAACUGCUAAACUAUUUUCCAUAGUGGCUGUAUCAUUUUACAUUCCUACCAGCAAUGUAUCAGAGAUCCUCCAUACCCUUAUCAGCAUAUGGUGUUAACCACUAUUCGAACCAACUGGACGGCAACUAACAACAACAAUAGGCAUGUAGUGAUACCCUGGCAUGGUUUUAAUUUACAUUUCCCUAAUGGUUAUGCGUUAUGCAGAUGACACAACCUUGCUUGCUGAAAGUGAAGAGGACUUGAAGUAAUUACUGAGGAAGAUCAAAGACCUCAGCCUUCAGUAUGGAUUACACCUCAAUAUAAUAUAAAGAAAACAAAAAUCUUCACAACUGAACCAGUCAGCAACAUCAUGAAAAAUGGAGAAAAGAUUGAAGUUAUCAAUGAUUUCGUUUUACUUGGAUCCAUAAUCAAUACCCAUGGAAGCAGCAGUCAAGAAAUUAAAAGAUGUGUUGCACUGGGUAAAUCUGCUGCAAAAAACUCUUUAAAGUGUUGAAAAGCAAAGACGUAACCUUGAAGACUAAGGUGCGCCUGACCCAAGCCGUGGCGUUUUCAGUCACUUCAUAUGCAUGUGACAGCUGAACUAUGAGUAAGGAAGACUGAAGAAGAAUUAACGUCUUUGAGUAGUGGUGUUGGUGAAGAAUAUUUAAUGUACUAUGGACUGCCAAAAGAACAAACAAACCUGUCUUGGAAGAAGUACAACCAGAAUGUUCCUUAGAAGCAAGGAUGGUGAGACUACAUCUCACAUACUUUGGACAUAUUAUCAGAAGGGAUCAGUCCCUGAAGAAGGACAUCAUAAUGGUAAAGUAGAGGGUAAGUGAAAAAGAGGAAGAUCCUUAAGAACAUGGACUGACACAGUGGCAGCAACAAAGGGCUCAAGCAUAGCAAUGAUUGUGAGGAUGGUACAGGAACAGGCAGUGUUUUGUUCAUUUGUACAUAGAGUCGCUAUGAGUCAGAACCAGCUCAACAGGUGUUAAGUGCUAAGAAUAACAACAAAAAUGGUAAAUGUAGUAGAACAUCAUCAUGUGCUUUUAUGCCAUCCACAUCUCCUCUUUAUUAAAAUAUCUGUUCAUGUCUUUUGUCAUUUUGUAAUGGCGUUUCAGGGCCACUUUAAGAUGUUUGUAAAGUUUUAUUUUUCAAGGCUUCACUCCAAUCAUAUCUGAUAUAUUAAAAUCUGCCACAGCCUACAUAAUUUAUGAUUAUGUAAGAGUUGGGUGACAGCUGAUUAAUUGCAAUAAUGGUAUGUUAAAAAAAAAGAACAAACCCAUUGCUGUCGAGUGGAUACCGACUCAUAGCGACCCUAUAGGACAAAGUAGAACUGCUCCAUAGGGUUUCCAAGGAGUGCCUGGUGGAUUUGAACUGCCGACCUUUUUGGUUAGCAGCCGUAGCACUUAACCACUACACCCCCAGGGUUUCCAAUGGUAUGUUAGGUAAACAUUAAUUUUUAUUUUGUAGUUUUAACAUUUUGAAGCCCUAGUUUUUUUUUUUUUUCCUGGUCCCAAACAUUGUUGUAGAGUCUUGAAAACUUGUUAGCGCAGUGCCGGUAACGCAAAUUAUAAACUGCCCAUGCUGAUAUCAACUUGCUUUGGCAGAUUAUUUAACUUUAAAUCCUUACUUCUUUCAUUUACAAAGUAGAGAUGAUACAAGUAACUAGGCUCAGAGAGAUGUUGUGAAUAAUGUGUGAAAAUUACGAGCACAAUUCUGGCACAAAAUAGGUACUUAGAAACCCUGGUGGUGUAGUGGUUAAAAGCUAUGGCUGCUAACCACAAGGUCUGCAGUUCAGAUCCACCAGGUGCUCCUUGGAAAUUGUAUGGGGGCAGUUCUACUCUCUCCUGUAGGGUCGCUAUGAGUCGGAAUUGACUUAACAGCAUUGGGUUUGAUUUUGGGGGGGGGGGUGGUGAGGUGGGGGAGGUGCGUAUUUUAGCGAUCAGAAUUAGCAAUAUAUAGGUUUGGAAUGGGCUUUAUACCACUGCUUUCUUCUCUGAGAGACUCAGAUUAGCCAAGGAGAUGGAGACUAUCUCUCAUGUUUAUUAGCAUUCUGAUUUUCCAUUAUUCGCAGAGCCAGUUUUCCACCUGAAGACACUGAUGCUAAAGCUAGAGCAGCUGCCUUUUUCCUGAGCAGCGUUCAAAACGGCGCAUGUUUUAAUAUGAAUUUGUGUAAUUACUAAUAUGUAAUUGACCUUUUUUUUUUUAAUUGACCUAGAUCUGUAUAUACAUUAAAUUUGACCUGUUUGAACUAUGACUUUAAAUAAAGUACAACUGACUAUACAAUAGAGAGGUAUUUUCCAAAAUAUCUUGUCUGGAUAAGAUAUUAUUUCAAAUUAUUCCAAAUUAUAUUAUCUGGAUUACCUGUAUGUGAUGUUCAGUUUCUACCUCUCAGAGCAGUAUUUUUCUAGUAAAAAAAUUCAGUAUUUGAGUACAGUUUAGACUUUUAAAUCAAUUACUUCAUGGGCAUGCUUGAAAACAUUUGGGUACACAUGCUAGGAUCUUUAGGGUUAAAUGAACAGAUUUUCGAACAUUGCCUAAAUAGAGAUAUAAGAAGCAUAUACUUGAUUAAAGAGUCAGCAACCAUUUAUUGAGUACUUAUUAUGUGCAACCCACCGUUUCUCCCGUUGUGCAUGGGAUGGCCAUGAGUCAGGGUCCAACUCAACAGCAGCUAACAAUGAGUGAAGAACUGAGCUACACAGUAGGGGAAGAGAAGUCAGUAAACAAUUGCUAUAUAGCACUUUAAAGUUCUUUAUCAGAGCCAUGUCCAAGAGGAAAAGCAAGUGAACCAGGGAAGCAGGUGAGUGCGUGGUCAACUGGGGAAUCGCACGUAGCCGAGAGUACUUGGAACAAACAUAGGUAGAGGCAGGAUUAUGAAGUGCUUUGUACCUUACUUGCCGGAGCUUAGUUUUUGUUUUUUUUGGAGAAGGUGAAGAGUCUUUGAAGAAUUUUUCAGACAGCAAUGACAUGGUCAGGUAUGUAUCAAAAGAAAGCUUUGUCAGAAGUAUGAAGGAUAAAUUGGGGAAGGAUUAAUUUGAGGGGGAGGCUCGAAGCAGAAAUGAAACUGUUUAACUUUAUGCUAAGUACCAGUACUUUCGCUGAAAUAAAUUUGAUGUUUUCCACUUCCAGCUCAUAACUGCAGUAUUACUGCUUCUGUCUCUGCCCUCUUUUAACUCUGGAAUGAUUCUUUGAUGAUGCUGGUUUGAAUCCAUUUUGAUUCAGACUUAGUGUGAAUGAAUUAGAUCAGAAAAACUCCUGAAUAAAAGCGUUAUUUGUUCUUUCAGCAUUUCGUGAAUUCCUAACUUGGGCAGAGCAGUUCUGAGGCACUGCUAAUCUGGCUGUCCCCAACUUUUCCACUAAAACUUUUCUCACUGCGUCACUGUAGCUUCUUUUUCCUCAAACAAUGGACCCUUUUUCAGCUCUUAUUUUUCUGGAUUUCUUGGUAGCAUUUACUUCUGUUGACCACUUCAUCUCUUAUUGUUAAUCUUACUUAAGCUUCAGUAAUGCACACUUGGCAGUCUUCUUUCUGUAGCUCCACAACAUGACCUUCAUUUAGGCCACAUCAUUUCUCACCUAGAAUAUUGCACUAGAUUCCUGAGUGUUUUCCCUGCAACUUCACCUGUUCUGCAGAUGCAGCCAAAAUGCCCUUUAUAAAAUGCAAAUCUUCCCAUGCUACUUCUCUGUUCAGCUGCCUUUAGUGGCUCCCCAUUGUUCAUAACAUCAAAGGGACACUCCUCAACCUGGCACAGAAGGCCCUGCCUCAUUAUCCUUCUCCAGCCUAAUCUCUUUUCACUGACCUGCAGUUCAUUUUCUUUCUCUGUCUCUGCCUAUCUCCUAUUGGUUCUUCUCUGGAGAGCCUGACUAAUACAGCACUUCACACAAUGCCUAUUAUAUAGUCACACUCAGUAAAUGAUAACAGAAUUAUACUGCUUAGUUCUUGUACACGCCCCACCAGACCAGCGACUGGAGUGGCUCCAAGGGGCACAGGUCGAAUUCCAAAAAAAGAGGUGGAAAAAGCCAGUUUGAUCAGAUCCAGCUUUACUACAUAUAGAGAUCAACCCCAUUAUUCUCAGGACAGACUGCAAAGUGUCGAGUCACCUAGGUAAAGGUCCAUGUGGGGCAGUAGGAGGUCUGGGUUUAUAUACUUAGUACUUAUGUGCAAGGAUGCGUGCAGGGGAACCAGGAAAAAAACGAACAAAAAACCUAUGUCUAAUAUAUGAUGGAUGGGAUUGUUUUUGUACUAGUUAAUGGAUUUCAGUUGAUGUUACCAUGAAGUCAGGGGUUUGGUGCAUACUCUGAUUCUCUCCCAGAGUUCUGUGUGGCAGGACCCAUCUUGUAUUGUUCAUUACCCUCACAGUUCUAAUAUCAGAAAAAUGAUUUUUAUAUGAAUGUAACAAGGUAAUUAUGGAUGUUUUUCAAGUCUUAUACACUGAUAAAUAUAUGACCAAGUAAAAGGCUUUAUUUUAUGUCCCACAAUUUUAGUUUGGAGGAAAAGUUGUCCAAUUCUGAAGCUUUGUAAUAAAAGCCAAGUUAUCACAACACUGUUAGUCACAUGGGCUAUAAUCGAUUCAACAGUAUCUAACAACAACAGUGACCAAGGGAAAAGAAUGGUUUUAAUUUACCUUUAGUGAUAAGUGUUUUUCCUGCAUUAUUUGUGAAUGUCAUAAAUGUGUCAAAAAUUCAGAUAGUGAAAUAUGAUUGAUAGACAUUUAAUAGUUGGGCAUAAUUUGAUGAAGAAAACUUGAUAUAGAAUACCUAUCUUUUAUAUUAGGUAAAUCAGGUAGUAGGAAUGCAUGUUGUGGAAGAAAUUUUGCCUAAUACACCUAUCACUCUCAGAAUUUCUUUAAAUUGUCACCUCCAGUUGCUUAAAAUGAUUUUUUUUUGUAUUCAAUAAAACUUAAAUAAGUCAUGUUUGAAAUUAGAAUUUAAGUCAUUGGGACAAUAAGAUUUAUUUACUGUCAGACAUAUUUUAGGAUAGAACUGACAGCAACUACUUGAUUAAAUAUGAAAUUUCAUCUCUGCUAGCAAAGCACUACAAUUCUUUCUGCUUUCUCCUUGUUCUAGCAAGGAAUAUUGAAUUUUUUAUUAUAUGGUUUUAAAUUUUUUGUUGAUCUAUAAUACAUAACAAAAGCAUACCCAUAAAUGUAUAGCUCGAUAAAUUUUCACAAACUGUUACAGCAUCCAGAUCAAAAAGCAGAAGUCCCCUUAUCAUUCCCCAGCAUCCUGUACUGAAUAUAGGAUACUGUAUUCACUAUCUUGACUUUUAGCAGCGUAGAUUUGUUUUGCCUGUUUUUGUAUUUUACACGAAUGGAACCAUGUUGUGUAUACUCUUCAGUGUUUGGCUUUAUUUGUUCACCAUUUUGCUUGUAAGAUUGAUACAUACUGUUUGUGGUUGUAGAUAAUUCACUGUCAUUGUUAAUGUAAUAUUUUAUGGUGUGAAUACAUCAUAAUUUAUGUAUCCAAUUCUGUUGAUAGGCAUGCAGAUAGUUUCCAGCUUGGAUCUGUUAGUACUGCAGUGAACAUUCUAAAGUGUGUGUAUAUUUUUUAAGUAUAUGUAUAUAUAUAUAUUUCCUGUUAGGUCUAUAUAUGAGAGUGGAAUUGCUAUAUCAUAGAAUCUGUUUAUGUUUAGCCUUAGUAGAUACUACCACGUGGUUUUCAAAGUGGAUGUAUUACUUUACACUUCCACUGGCGGUAUAGAUAUGAGAGUUCUGUUAGCUGUAUGUCCAUGCUUAUUGAUAUUUUCUAUAUUGUUUUCUAAAAUGGUGUAUGACUUAGUGUUACAAAUUGAAUUGUGUCCCCCAAAAGUGUGUAUCAACUUGGCUAGGCCGUGUUUCCCAGUAUUGUGUGGUUGUCCACCAUUUUGUGAUCUGAUGUGAUUAUCCUAUGUGUUGUAAAUCCUAACCUCUACGAUGUUAAUGAGGCAGGAUUAGAUGCAGUUAUGUUAAUGAGCAGGACUCAAUCUACAGGAUUACGUUGUAUCUUGACGCAGUCUCUUUUGAGAUGUAAAAGAGAGAAACGAGCAGAGCCAGGAGCAGAAUGCAAUCUUUGGACGGGGGGUCCCUGUGGGAGAAGCUCCUAGACCAGGGGAAGAUUGAAGACAAGGCCUCCCUCCAGAGCCGACAGAAAGAGAAAGCAUCCCCUUGUAGCUGGUGCCCUAAAUUCAGACUUCUAGCAUCCUGAACUGUGAGAGAAUAAAUUUUUCUUUGUUAAACCUAUCCACUUCUGAUAUUUCUGCUAUAGCAGCACCAGAUAACAAAGAUGACUAAGACGCUUAGUGGUAAUAUUUUAAAGAGUGUAUCAGGUAUGCUAUGAUAAACCAAAUUAUUUAUCAAUUUGUAGCUAACAAUCCAUGUUAAGGCUUGUGUAAGUGAAGAAAUAAUACAAUAAGAAAUGUAAGUGUUGUUUUCCUAUGGCUGAGGAUGAGAAGGUGGGGUUGUUUUAUGUAGUUCCUUAUUUAUUUCAUAAUAUAGAUGUAAUAAAUUUUCUUCGUCUAGGUGGUAACAUUUAAGAACAAAUAAACCGUUAUGCUCUAAAAGUACUACUACUAUUUAUUACUAGCACUACUGCUGUUGCCUUUUGCGAAGACCAAAAAAAGACAAAAGUGUUUUAAAAGUGGUACUCUCACGUCUACAUUUGGGAGAAAAAAGCAGUUUUAGAAAAAAAUUUUGAGAGGUCUAUUUACACAUGUAAGCAUACCAUAAAGCCUGUCAUUUUACUGAACACAGAUACAGUAAAAUUCCUAUAAUAUAGUCGUAAAGGCACAUUCAAAAUAGGGUUAUAUCAGUAGUUUGCAUUUAUAUUGUAGCACUGGGUUGGUUUGGGUUAUACCUUAUCAAUAAGACUCAUUUAAUGUCUUAUGGUAUUAGUAAUUAAAAAAUGUAUAACAUUUAUUUUUCUGAGUAUAAAUGUAAACUUAUUGAGAAAAUUGUCAAAUACAGAAAAUAAUAAAGAAAAAAUAAAAUUUUGCCAAAUUUUACUAUCUAGAGAUAACUACUAUCGAUAUUUGUUUUAUACCCUUAUGAUCUUUAGAAUACAUGUAUAUAGAGUGUUACAAGUUAUAUACUUUACAAGAAUAUUACGUGCGUUAUAUUCUUUUUCCAUGAAAAUUUAUCAUGAAUAUUUUACAUAAGUGCUAAGAACAGGAUUUCAAUGAUUAUUAAUUUUAAUUUUUAUAAAUAAAGCUAUAAUAUCAUAAUAAUAAUAAGUAAUAAAGGUAUAUAAUCAUCUCUGAUUAUUUUUUCAAAAUAUGUUAUUCAUAAGCAAUUACCGGGUGAUAAGCUUUGCUGAUUUUUAAUGAUUUUGAUAUUCAUUCCUUUUUAGAACAAAUGCUGUAAUUUGUUUCCUGAAGAGUGAAAUUUCCAGGCAUAAAUCCUUAUAAACCACAGGUUACAUCAUUGGGAUCUCAAACCUGCUGAUUUGAUAGUGAUUGCUGAUAUUUAAUAUCUUUUAUUAUUAGUGAUUUUGAGUGCUCUUUUCUUAUAUUUAUUGGGCAUUUGAAUUUUUUUUUUAAACUUUCAUGUUCAUAUCCCUAACCAGGCUUUCUACUGAGGACUUUUCUUGCCUUAAUUGGGUAAAGCAUAUUAUAUCUUAGUGAGAGUAAAUCUUCGCCAUACAUGUUACUAACAUUUUUGUCAAAUUGACUUUAGUUGUUUCAGUUGACUUUAGUUGUUUUCUUCCUUUGGUAUUGAAUUCAAAAUGGUCUUUCCGACACAAAGUUUAGAUAAAUAGUUUCUUAUGUUUUCUUUACUUUCUUAAUGAUAUAUUAAACUCCAUUCGUAUUUAUGCUCAUGAAAGAUAUGAGACAGUAAUGUAUAUUUGUGAAUUAUUGUGGCUUUCAUAUAUAUCUUUUAAUUUGAGAUAGUUUGACUCCUCCCUCAGCCCCUACUAUUUGUCUACUUUUUCAAAUAUUUCUUGGCUAUUCUCACCCUUAUAUUCUACCAGUCACAGUUAGAAUCAGUUUUUCAACUUCGAGAGCAAAACAAAAAAUAUAAAUCACCACCACAGCAGUAGCCCAGGAAUUUCAAUGGAAUUUUGGUUAGAAAUUUAAGUUAUUCAAGCAGUUUUGGCAUCUUUACCAUAUUGAGUCUUCCCAGUCAGGAAUGGGGCUGCUUGUUAGAUUUAUUCAAAUAUGUGUGUGUAUGUAUGUAUGUUGCUUUUGAGUUGAUUCCAACUCAUAGCGACCCUAUGGGACAGAGUAGAACUGCCCCAUAGGGCUUUCAAGGAGCGGCUGGUGGAUUUGAACUGCCCACCUUUUGGUUAGCAGCCGUAGCUCUUAACCUCUACACAACCAGGGUUUCCGAACAUAAGUAUGUAUAUAUUUGUCAGUAAAGUUUUAUAGUUUUCUUCAUGUGGGACCCAUAAAGUUGUUGUUUUAUCCUAGAAAGUUUAUAAUUUUGUUGCUAUUAUGAUUGAUAUAUAUAUAUUUUUUCUAUUAUUUAUUUUAACUAAUAUAGUAGACCUAUUAAUUUUACAGGAGCCCUGGUGGUGCAAUGGUUAAACACUUGGCUGCUAACGGAAAGGUCAGUGGUUUGAAACCACUAGCCACUCUGUGGGAGAAAGAUGUGACAGUCUGCUUCUGUAAAGAUUAGUGUAUUUUUACGCAAAUAACAUGCGCCUUCUACGUUUGCUUGGCCCCUGCGCUCUCCCGGUGGGAGAUAUUUUUGUAAACACAGUAUGCUAAUUUUUUUACAGCAACAUGGAAAAAUAAUUGGUAUAAUGGUGUUUACUAAAAUAACCUCCGGGGAGGAAGGAGCAGUUGGCAAACAAAUGUAAAAGGUGUGUGUUAGUUACAUGAAAAUACAGUCAGUUCUGCUCUGACCUCUAGAGUCUCUAUAUGAAUUGGAAUCAACUUGGUGGAAGCAGGUUUGGUUUUUUGUUUUUUUGGUUUGUUAUACAAUUGCCUACCGUAUUGAAAUUAAUUUUAAUCGCUUUUCAGUCAAUUCCCUUGGGUUUUCUAGGCAUGCUUGUUGUUAUAUGCAUACUUCUCUGCCCUUUUUAUUGCAUUAGAUGAUACAUGAUAAACCAGUGCUAAAUUACUUGUGAUAAGACAUUCUUGUUUAGUACUCGUUGGGAAUACUGGCAGUUUGGUGUUUCAAAAUUCAUUCAUUCAACAAAUAUAUACUAAAUACCUACUCUAUCACAGUGAUAUGCUAAGUGUAAGAACGGUGGUGGUUUAGUGGUAGAAUUUUCAUCUUCCAUGUGGGAGACCUUUUGUUUUCUUCAUGUACGUUGUCCUUGAUGUCAUCCUAUAACUCGUCUGGUCUUGGGUCAUUAGUGUUCAAUUCAUGAGAUCUAUUCUUGAGAUGGUCUUUAAAGUCAGGUGGGAUAUACUCAAGGUUGUACUUUGGCUCUCAUGGACUUGUUUUCAUUUUUUUCAGCUUCAACUUGAACUCACAUAUGAGCAGUUGAUAAUCUGUUCCACAAUUGGCCCCUGAUCUUGUUGUGACUGAUUAUAUUUAUCUUCUUCAUCAUCUCUUUCCACAGAUGUAGUUGAUUUGGUUCCUGUAUAUUCCAUCUGGUGAGGGCCACGUUUAUAGUCACCAUUUAUGUUGUUGGAGAAAAGCAUUUGCAGUGAAUAUGUCAUUGGUCUUGCAGAAUUUUAUCAUGCAGUCUCUGGCAUCAUUUCUAUCACCAAGGCCAUACCUAACUACUGUUCCUUCUUCUUUGCUUCCAGCUUUCCCAUUCCAAUCACCAGUAGUUAUCAAUGCAUCUUGAGUGCAUGAUUGAUCAAUUUUAGACUGCAGAAGUUGGUAAAUGUCUUCAAUUUUUUUUUUUUAUUUUUGGCAUUAGUGGGUGGGUUGUAAAUUUGAAUAAAAUCGUUGUAAACUGGUCUUCCUUGUGUGUGGAUAUUACACUAUCACUAACAGAGUUGUACUUCAGAUAUUUCUUGAAAUGUUCUUUUUGAUGAUGAGUGUGAUGACAUUCCUCUUUAAUUUGUCAUCCCUGGCAUAGUAGAUCAUAUGAUUGUCAGAUUAAAAAUGGCCAGUACCAAUCCAUUUCAGUUCACUAAUGCCUAGGAUAUCUAUCUUCAAGCAUUCCAUUUCAUUUUGACAGCUUCCGAUUUUCUUUGAUUCUUACUUUGUACAUUCCAUAUUCUGAUUACUAAUGAAAUUUGCAGUUGUUUCUUCUCAUUUUGAGUUGUACCACAUCAGCAAGUUUGGGCAUGUUGUUAGGAGGGACCAGUCCCUAGAGAAGACAUCAUGCUUGGUAAAGCAGAGGGUAACGAAAAAGAGGAAGACCUUCCAUGAGAUGGAUUGACACAGUUGAUGUAACAGUGGUCUCAAACAUGGCAAGGAUUGUGAGGCUGGUGCAGGAACAGGCAGUGUUUUGUUCUGUUGUAUAUAGGGUCACUAUGGUCAGAACUGACUCGAUGACACCUUACAGCAACAACAUGUGAGAGACCCAGGUUUGAUUCCUGGUCAGUGUUCCUCAAGCACAGUCACGACUUGUCUGUCAGUGAAAGUUUAUGUUGUGUUGUGAUGCUGAACAGAUUUCAGUGGAGAUUCCAGACUCAGAUGAAUAGGAAGAAAGGCCUGGUAAUCUAAUUCUGAAAAUCAGCCAGUGAAUGCCCUAUGUAUCACCAUGGUCUGCUCUCACUGUGCAUGGGGUCACCAUGAGUUGGAGGCCAACUUGAUGGCAGCUAAUAACCUUGGAAACAAGGAUGACAAAAUUUUAUCUCAUGUACUUUGGACAUGUUAUCAGAAGGGAACAGUCCCUGGAGAAGGACAUCAUGCUUGGUAAGGCAGAGGGUCAACAAAAAAGAGAAAGGCCCUAAACGAGAUGGAUUGACACAGUGGCUAAAACAACGGGCUCAAACAUAGCAAUGAUUGUGAGGAUGGAGCAAGACUGGGCAGUGUUUCUUACUGUUGUACAUAGUGUCACUAUGAGUUGAAACUGACUUGACAGCACCUAACAAGUAUAAGAGAUAAAAUGGUGAAAAAGACAGAAAUCUUUGUAAAUUUUAAGCCCUUGAGUUUACAAUUUAGUGGGAGAAGCUGUUAUUAAUCAAGUUAUCCAAAUAAAUACAAAAUGACAUAUAAGUUUGGAGUUUACUGGUAGAUGGAGAUUUUUGCUGUUAUAUAUGUUUUUAAUUUUGCUAAUUGUAGGGUAGUCUAAGUAAAGGAUUAGGUCCUUAUUACAGAGUUCACCCUGUGAGGAAAGGAAAGUCAAUAUGAAAUUAAAGUAUUAACCACAGUGAAAUGAUUAAGUUUUUAAUCAAGUAGACAAAAUAAAAUUUAUUAUCUGUCUUUCUCCAUUAUUUCUUUGAGCUUUUUGUAAUUUUUUUCUUCUGGAUGAUUGUGCACUUUUUCAUUUGUAUUUUAAUUAUUUAAUAAUAUGCUUCAUAUUAUUUUUUCUCUUUAAAAUAGUUUUCCUAAUCUUUAAUAUGUUCUUUUCAUUGCUUCUGAAAAGCUCAGCAGGACUAGGAAUCUGUUGAGUAAUGCAGUGUAAAGUUAAAUUUUGAAUCAUACAAUAUUGUAUGAACCUACUUACAUGAAAUACCUAGAAUAGCCAAAUGAAUGGAGAUCAGAGUUUAUUAGUCAUUAUCAGGGGCAGGUGGGAAGAGGAAAUGGGGACGUAUUGUUUAAGGGGUACUGAGUUUUUAUGAGUGUGAAUCAAAUUGAUGGCAAUGGGUUUGGUUUUUGGUUUGAGUUUUUGUUAAAGGUGAUAAAAAAUUUGCAGUCAUAUAGUGGUGAUGGUUGCAUAACAUGAUGAAUGUAAUUAAUGUCACUGAUUUGUAUGCAUAAAAAUGGUUGAAUUGGCAAAUGUUUUCUACAUAUAUAUCUCACCAGAAUAAGUUUUUUAAAUUAAAUGUUGAUUUUAAACUUAUGGAAAUUUCAGACUUCUUUUAAUUUUAAUUUGGGAUAGCUGUCUAUUAAAUCGGAAUCCCUAGUGGCAUAGUGGUUAAGAGCUACAGCUGCUAACCAAAAGGUUGGCAGUUUGAAUCCACCAGGUGCUCUUUGGAAACUCUAUGGGGCAGUUCUACUCUGUGCUCUAGGGCCCCUAUGAGUUGGAAUCGACUUGAUGGCAACAGGUUUGGUUUUGGUUUGAUCUAUUAAAUAAUUAGCAGCUGGCUGCCUGUUACUUAUGGGAUGAUACUGUUGAAGUUCCUAGAAGCAUUAGUUCCUAGCAUAGAGAUAAUAAUGUUCAGAAACCACCUCCUACUUCCCUUUCUGUAGAUUCAGCCCAGUUCCCAUUCAAGCUAAGCCAGCGAAGGGGAAAGAAUUACGUUGUUCCCUUCCUUUACUCUCCUUCCUAUCCUAUACUAGAACUUGCUGAAAAGUUUGAAAAUCAUCACUGUGGAUAGCUGUCAUUUGGGGCUGACCUGUAGGAUACAUUUGAAUGAAAGGAUGUAGGAUGGGGAAGAACUAUUUUUUUGAGAUGGAUUCUUAGCACUGUCUAGAGCUUCAAAUUUGAGCUUCAAGAUGAAAGUAUAUCUGUGUCUUCCUUUUAACUGGUGUGAGGAUAGAAAUGAGUUUCUGUGAGGAUAGAGUGAAAGAAUAAAUGAAAGAGAGGCUCUGUGAUGUGUUAAAUAUCAGUUUUUAAUUUGUUUACUCUGUAUCCCAACAUAUUUUCCAAAAUAUUUCUGCCCCCCAACCCAUCACUUCUUUGAUUUUCAGAUCUACAAAUUUUUCUGAAGAAAUUUGUAGAAUCGAACUAAACAUUAAAUCCUCCAAAUAAUUAGAACAUAAUUCUCAAGAGAAAAUAAUUGCCGAGAGAGAUGGAUUGCUGCCAAGAAAUUCCCCUCUGAGACUUCAUCUUCUAUUUUUGGCUCCUGCUAUCACUAUUUUUGGAACCCUGGUGGUGCAGUGGGUUAAGCGUUCAGCUGCUAACCGAAAAGUCCAUUGUUUAAACCCACCAACUGCUCCACAGGGGAAAGAUGUUACAAUCUGCUUCCAUAAAGAUUAUAGCCUUGGAAACCGGAUGAGUCAGCUCUACUCUGUCCUGUAGGGUCACUACGAGUUGGAAUUGGCUCAAUGGCAAUGAGUUUUUUUGUUUAUCACUACUUUUAGAAGUAUAGCCCCUGGAGUUGAACAGUAACAUAGUUCUCAAGGGGCUUUGGAGAGACAAAAAAAAUGGGGGAAGUGGCUGCAGCUGCUUAGACAUUUGUCUC